rnacentral:rRNA from 1 species
ACAGUCACUGACAUUAGAUACCCCUGUAGUCCAGGGUGUAAACGCUGCAGACUUGGUGUUGGAAGUCCUUUGGGGGCAUUCAGUGCCGGAGAGAAGUUGUUAAGUCUGCUACUUGGGGAGUACGUCCGCAAGGAUGAAACUUAAAGGAAUUGGCGGGGGAGCACCGCAACGGGAGGAGCGUGCGGUUUAAUUGGAUUCAACACCGUAAAACUCACCAGGGAAGACCGUUACAUGAAAGCCGAGAUGAAGACUCUGCUAGAUUUUCAG